rnacentral:lncRNA from 1 species
AUUUUGACACAGUUGGAGUUGGGAGAAGUGCAAUACCUUCAAUUGCUUCCCCAGAUAAAUGUAACAUGUACUGUAAAUUUCCAUAAGGUGCGUUAUGCUUUCUAUGGGGGAUAAAUUUCUAUUCUCUGGAUGUUUAGUUUAUGCCGUCGUUCUUUGUUGAACUACUUGAUCUAAAGUUUAAAUUAUUAGAUCUUUAAAAUGCCUCUUCACGUGUAGACGGGGUUCAUUUUUUCCCGUCAAAGCCUAUCACGUGCAUAAUUCAUUUAAAUGAGUGACGGUGCAAUUUGAACCUAGGACAUUUGCAUGCUCUGAUACCAUGUUAAAUCACUUGAUCUAAAAACUUAAAUUAUUAGAUAGGGCCACAUGUAUAAUUAUUUAUCUUUCUGCAGACUCCGCCAGCACUUUUUGCUGCUAAAGAUAUUGUGGUUGCAUCAAUUCUGAACAAGUGAGAAAUAUUUUUUAUUCCAUACUACCAUGAACUAUGAAGUUAUUUGUUCUUAAAACUCUUAAUUGCUCUGCUAAUGCUUUACAAGCUUUUCAGGUCUGAAAUGAAAGAUGGGCAAUAUGUAUUUGACAUACCAUCUGUGGCAAAUAGCAUCAGAAUGCAGGCUGUUGACCUUACAAAUCACUUGCAGAGUCUAAAGGUGAGUAUGUUUUGACUUGUCCAAGCUUUUCAAAUUCCAAUUUGGAAUGAGAUUUUAAGAGAUUUCAGUUCUUUCAAACUCAUUUCUACAAGCCACUUGUUGAACUAUCUAUUCAUAUAGAGCUCUAUGGAGUUAUUGCUCUUCCCUUUAAUCCACUUGAAGUCUAAGGUCAAGUUUUUAUCCUCGUUCAAGCUUUGAUUGAAGAGGUCGAACUUGUAUGUUAGGAGGUUUGACAGAUCACGUUUAGCUAAGCUUAAAAUGUUUGCUUAUAAGCAAAAUAAGUAAGUCUUCAAAUAUUUAAUUUCUUAUUGGAUAAAGUUAGAUAAGUUACUUUUGACAGUAAGAUUAAGGUACUUUUAUGAUAAGUGACUUUUUUACCCAAAUGUAAGAUAAUAAAUUAUCGAAGCAAAAAGUUACUUGUGUUUUUUGUUGUAUUAAGGACCAUAAGAUUAUCUCUUCCAAAUUUUACUGUCUUUAGAACAUGAUUUAUACCUUACUCUGUCAAUUUCCAAAAAUUCAAGCUUCUAAUCAUUUUUCUCUGACAAUGGCGGAAUAUGAUUUAAAAUUGAAAUGCUGCUUCAAUAUUUUACACUUUAUAGUUGAAGUACUAUGAAAAUUAUGGUAACAUAAUAUUUGGCAUGGUCCUAAUCACUUAAUUGUAUUAUACUCGUUGAAAUAAUUGGGAAAAGAACCUUGUUGUAUUCUCCGAUUGAUUAGAAUUUACUAACUCACAGAAUUUUCUGUAUUGCUUGUAUUAGUUGAAGGGGGAAAUCACAUAUGAUUUGAAGGAUCCAGCCUAUUGUUAUACCAUUAUUAAUGUCCCGGAAGAUAUUUGUUCUUUGGCAGCAAGCCUUACAAAGUGGUUAUCUGAGGUCGAGACCUGUAAGGUGAUUGGCUUUCCUUUAUGUCAUUUAUUAUUUUUGUAGUUUAUUCUCUAUUUGUGUGGGGAAGAGGGGGACAUUCAUAGUGCAAGUUUGGCAAAGCUUAUAUUAUAAUUUAAACUUGUCAAACAUACUUUUUAUCCAACUUAUUAUCCAGCAUUCAAUGGGGCCCGCUGUUUAAAACAAGCACGUGAUAACAUGCAUACUGACUUUGAUUGACGUAGGUGCGGAAGAUAGAUGCAAUGUUUAAUGCUGCUGUUUUUGCUGCAAAAGAGUGUGAUAAAGUGCAGAGCUGCCAAGAAAAUCAACAUACUUCUUGCUUGCAAAGGAAGAUUCAACAGUACUUUAAUGGGGAUGAUGACGUUGAUGUUCCUAACCAGAUGGGUCAAAACAGGUUGAAAUGUUUGAUCUAUAAAUACACAAUU